GUCUUAAUUUCCAAUAAAUAUUACACAUAAAAUAUUUUACUCAUGCAUUAAAAAUAAAUUUUCAACUUCACUAAAGUUAUGAAUAAUUACGGAAGUUUGUAUAAAGUAUUGUUUGUUUUACUAUAUAGUAACUUGUAUUUCAACAUAUAUAUAUUUUUAGAAAAAUGUGUUAAUAUUAUCUUGUAUUUGUAUUAGCAGUAUUUUAAGUUCUUUGUAGCUCAAUUUCGUCUUUCGGGUGUUUUGACUAAAAUAUCAUUCCUUAGUCAAUUGAACGCUUUUUAUUUAUUUCAUUAUUGUUUCAAUGAGUAAGGAUCAUCAUUGAGCUACAAAGCAAGUUGGUCGUUUCAACUAAAAAUUGGUGUUAAAAGCAAUUGUUAUAAAAGUGUAUUUGAAGAAGAACAGUCUUUUUAAUUCUAAAAUACUACAAAACUUGAAGGUACCAAGAAAAUUUGAUGUAAGUACCGUCAACAAUUUAACAAAACGGUUUUUCUUCUUUUUUUUGGAUAUUUUUUUGUUUACCUUCACUUUUAGCAUAUUUAAAUCUUUAAGCUGUUGUUUUCGAGUGUUUGAAUAGAUUAACAGUAGUGUAAACUGUACUGAUUAUCAUAAAAAAAAAUUAUUUGAAUGCCGUUUUGUUUUAGUGCAAUGUUUGAUAAUGUAGUUAAACUGUUUUUAGUUUAGUUGUGUGUUUUUGUAACUCAUGUAAUAUUUCGAAAUGCUAGGAAAACGUAAAUCUAAUCUUUGUAAGAGGAGUAAUAAAGCUCGGGCUAUGAAAGGCUUAAAAUAUAUAAUCUAUGAAUAUGAACGUAGAUCAUUGGACAUCGCAAAAUUUGUACAUCUAGUGAAGAUGCCUUGUGAGAGGUCCGAGAGUAGACGAAGGUCCACCGAGAGGCAUCUCAGCAUUGUGCUGGGAGGAUCAUCGACACGCAGUCGAUCCAGGACACGUGCUCGAGGCUCAAAACAAAGGUUAUCGUUUGCCAGCAACGUAUCGCACCAAUAGGCGUGGCUCCGAGCAUCGAAGAUCCAGAAAACCACCUUCAAGGAUUAAGCUGCAGUCAAAAAGUCGAAGCAGAUUUAGAAAUUGCGGUACGUAGCGUUUGCGGCUAUUCCGGCCAGCCGGGAAGGCGGGAGCGUGCCUAUAAGUAUAGUAUAAAAAGUAAAUAAGUAAAAAUGGAGUUUAUGAAUUUAGAUAUUCCAAAGAUAACAAGAAAUUUUCAUGGCUUAGGAAAAGAAGAAUUGUUUUACUCUAAAGUUAACGCGUGCGGGCCACGGGCAGUAAUGAAUAAAUCAAAACUACUGGAUCGAUUUUAAUGCAAUGUGCACGUAAUGUCGCUAUGAGCGAAUUUGAAGUGCAAUGUGCACGUAAUAUCGCUAUGAGCGAAUUUAGAAGUGCAAUGUGCACGUAACGUUUCGCUGU
rnacentral:misc_RNA from 1 species